UUUUUUUUUUUUUUUUUGUCUCUUUGCCAUUUCUUGGGCCGCUUCCACGGCAUAUGGAGGUUCCCAGGCUAGGGGUCGAAUCGGAACUGUAGCUGCCAGCCUACGCCAGAGCCAUAGCAACGCAGGAUCCGAGCCACAUCUGCAACCUACACCACAGCUCACGGCAACGCCGGAUCGUUAACCCACUGAGCAAGGGCAAGGAUCGAACCCGCAACCUCAUGGUUCCUAGUCGGAUUCGUUAACCACUGUGCCAUGACAGGAACUCCCCUUAUUGCCUUUAAUAUUCUUUCUUUGUAUUUAAUUUUUAUCAGUUUGAUCUCCGUGUGUUCCUCCUUGGUUUUAUCCUGUAUGGGACUCUCUGUGCUUCCCUGACUUGAGUGUGUUUCCUUUCCCAUUUAGGGGAGUUUUCAGCUAUAAUCUCUUCAAAUAUUUUCUUAUGCCCUUUCUGUCUCUCUCCUCCUUCAGGGAUCCCAGCAUUGCAAAUGUCAAUAUGUUUAAUGUUGUCCCAGAGAUCUCUUAGACUGUCCUCAUUUCUUUUCAUUCUUUUUUCUUUAUUCUUUUUCAUGGGAGUGAUUCCCACCUCUGUCUUCCACCUCACUUAUUCUUUUUUUUUUUUUUGCAUCAGUUAAUCUGCUAUUGAUUCCUUCUGUUUUUUAUUUUUUCAUUUCAUAUAUGGUAUUGUUCAUCUUUGUUCCUUAAAUCUUCUCUUGGUUAAACAUUUCUUAUAACUUCUUGAUCUGUACCUCCAUUCUUUUUCUGAGAUCUUGGAUCAUCCUUACUAUUUUAACUCUGAAUUCUUUUUCAGAUAGUUUUCCUAUCCCCUCUUCAUUUAGUUGUUUUUGUGGGUUUUUAUCUUGUUCCCUUGUUUGAAACAUAUUUCUCUGUCAUUUCGUUUUGCCUGUUGGCUGUUGUUUGUGGUUUCUUUUCUGCAGGCUGUAGGGUUCCUCUUGUUUAUGCUGUCCAUUCCCUGGUGGGUAGAGCUGCAUCUUGUCCCUCUGGUGGGCAUGGCUGUGUUAAGGAAUGUGUUCAGAGGUGGCUGUGGGCUUAGUAUGACCUUAGGCAGGCUGUCUGGGUUUAAUAAUUUUUUAGUGUGAGAGCUGUUUUUAGUUUGGAUGCCUGAUACUUCUUUCCUCGAUGUAUGCUGACACAUUAUCCCUUUUAUAGGAGAUGUGACUGAUGGUGUGGUGACCAGAGCUUGUACUGGAUAUUGAGUGGGGUCUUUGCUCUGUGGCCGUCACUUCACUAUAAGGGGCAGGGUCUGCUUUCUAAUUUUUGGAAUAGAGCUAGGCUGUGUUUCUGAUCUGCUGUGUGAGGUAGGAGGAAUUGCAGCACUCCCACUGGGAGAGGAGCCACUGAGUAUUCCUCCACUGGAGUUGUUCACCUGUGAAUGUGCUCUGUUGUAUUACCUUUCACCUGUUCUAUGGGGUCAAAAAGAGCACUGUUUUUGAUAUAUCCCUUGGCCCCCUGAUAUAUGUCAGUAAUUGGCCCUGGUGUCUCUCAGGUGUUAUUUUCACCUGGCUGCCAGUGCAGAGCCACUAAAAUCAGGACCCCUAGAUGCAACAUUUAUGUAUCUGGGCCUGCUGUGGGAGCUAUGGAGGCAGCUAAGACUCUGGACUGAUCCAGAUUUAUACACCCACAAAGCCCACAUCUGCUAGAAUCAGAAUCCUUUCAGCUGCGGGAGCACUUACUGUCCAUUUGGAUGUUCCACCAGCACUGAAUUUAUAAGGCCGGCGGUGGAGAUGUAAAUCUGUGGUUCACACAGUCAGGAGGAGGGAUUUCAGCUUUUCCUCCCUGGGGCUCAGCUGUGGUUACACCCCCACCUCCACAUAUAAGGAACCCACCAGUGACUGCAGGCAGGCAGCAGGUAUACAGGGGGCCGGGUUUGCGAUUGGUGCAUUUUCCAAUGGCAGGAGGGACAAGGCUGCAAUAAGGGGCACAGUCCAGCUCAGCAGAAUCUUCCCCCAGUUCCAGGCACAGAGGCAGGCACUUGUGUGGGGAAGGAGGCUACAAUGGUGGUCUCUCCCCUCACAUGCCACCUAACAAUGUCACUUAGCCUCUGUGGCAUCCCAGACCUCCUCCUCAGAUAUUAUCAGUUGUGGUGUUCUGCCCUCCCACUCCUCCAGGCUGUCUUGCACAACCAACAGUCACCCAAUUUCUAGAUCUAUUCUCCAACACUCAGCCCCUGCCAAUGUAAGUGGAUGAGCAUCUCAGACUGGGGCAUGCAGGGCAUUUGCACAGACUGUCUCUGCAUGUCUUGUUCUUUUCCGCCUGCCAUAGACUGGCUAUUAUGGUUUCCUCUUAGCCUCCAAAGCUCCUUUCCUGGUAUCCCUGCUUGUGAGGGGACUCCCCCAGGUGUGACAACCUCCCCUCUCCUUUAGCUCUCACCCUGAGGCCUAGGUCCUGACCCCACUUCUGUCCCCCGCCCCUUUUGUCCUACUUGGUUAUGCAGAGAUUCCUCUUGUCCUUGUAGGUGUUUGAAUUCUCCUGCCAGUGUUCAGUAGUGAGGACUCUUCGAUUUGUAGAUGUAUUCCUGAUGUAUUUGUGAACAGCCAUGAAUUCUACAUCCCCCUACUCUGCCUCCUUGAUCUCUGAACCCUCUCAUACUAUUUUGAAUAGUAUCAUUGUGAAGAUUUAGACAGGUGGUUCUUUGUUUGCUUGUUUGCUUAUAAUAAUCUCCAGCCUUUAGAGAGUUUCUGAAUAUUUACAAAGGCCCUUUCCCAUUCAUGCUCUCAGUGGAGCCUCACAUCAACUUCAUAUUACAGUUGAGGAAAAUGAAACUUAAAGCGUUCAUGGGACUUGUUCAAAGUCACACAGUACAAAGAGGAGCUAGGAAUCUAAUCUUUUAACUCUCCAGAAACUCCAUGUGAUUAAAAAGAAGUAAAUCAGUUUAAUAAGACCUGCUGGAUUGAACAAGAAAUUUUUUUAGUGAAAAUAGCCUAAGAAGACACCAGAAUAAUGAGCAUUAUAAAACAGAGGCAUUACCAAAGCAAAGUGUUAUAGGACAAGUCUAGGAUUUGAAGGCUUUCACACCCAGGUUCAAACCCCAGCUCGAUCAUUAAUCACACAGUCACUGCUUGGAUAUGUGUCAUUUUCAUUCGUUUUAUUCUUUUCUGCCUCACUAGGGUGUUAACUUUGCAAGGACUCAUGCUUGUCAUUUUUUUUUUUUUUUUUUUUUAGACGAUGCUUAUGGCAUGUGGAAUUUCCUGGGCUAGGGAUUGAAUCUGAGCUGCAGCUAUGAAUUGAGCUGCAAAUGUGGCAAUGCUGGAUCCUUUAACCCACUAUGCUCGGCCAGGGAUUGAACCCACACCUCUGCAGCAGCCUGAGCCACUGCAGUUGGAUUCUUAACCCACUGUACCAUGGGGGGAACUCAGAGGUUUGUCAUUCUUAUCCACCCCUGAAUUCUCAGCACUCAUCCCAGGGCCUGGCAUAUAGUAGGUGCUCACAAAUACCUCUUAAAUAUGUUUCUUUACAUAGCAAGUACUGUUCCCCUCUGAGCCCCCAGCUCCACCAUUUGCAAAAUGGUGUAGGAAUAAAGGAUACUAAAGCUUAAGGUAAAAUAGAAAUG
rnacentral:lncRNA from 1 species